GGUUGAUAUUCCUGUACCCGUUGUUUUUGUUUGAGCAAUGGAGGGACGCAGGAGGCUAAGGAAUGCAGACGAUCGGAAAUGUCUGUCCAAGCAGUAAGUCUGAAGAGGAGUCAAAUGCUUCUUUUCUUAAGGACAAGCUGUGAUGGGGAGGGAAAUAAUAGUACCGAAGUUCCUGAUGUCACACUGCCGAGAAAAGCUUCUAGUGAGAAAACAGCGGCCCGUACCGCAAACCGACACAGGUAGUCGAGGAGAGAAUCCUAAGGUGAGCGAGAGAACUCUCGUUAAGGAACUCGGCAAAAUGACCCCGUAACUUCGGGAGAAGGGGUGCUGAUCAUACGAUCAGCCGCAGUGAAUAGGCCCAAGCGACUGUUUAUCAAAAACACAGGUCUCUGCAAAAUCGUAAGAUGAAGUAUAGGGGCUGACGCCUGCCCGGUGCUGGAAGGUUAAGAGGAGUGCUUAGCGCAAGCGAAGGUACGAAUUGAAGCCCCAGUAAACGGCGGCCGUAACUAUAACGGUCCUAAGGUAGCGAAAUUCCUUGUCGGGUAAGUUCCGACCCGCACGAAAGGCGUAACGAUUUGGGCACUGUCUCAACGAGAGACUCGGUGAAAUUUUAGUACCUGUGAAGAUGCAGGUUACCCGCGACAGGACGGAAAGACCCCAUGGAGCUUUACUGUAGUUUGAUAUUGAGUGUCUGUACCGCAUGUACAGGAUAGGUAGGAGCCGUAGAAAUCGGAACGCUAGUUUCGAUGGAGGCGCUGGUGGGAUACUACCCCUGCGUUAUG
rnacentral:rRNA from 1 species